GCAUAUCAAUAAGCGGAGGAAAAAGAAACCAACAGGGAUUGCCUCAGUAACGGCGAGUGAAGCGGCAACAGCUCAAAUUUGAAAUCUGGCCUCACGGUCCGAGUUGUAAUUUGUAGAGGAUGCUUUUGGCGAGGUGCUUUCCGAGUUCCCUGGAACGGGACGCCAUAGAGGGUGAGAGCCCCGUACGGUAAGACCACCGAGCCUCUGUAAAGCUCCUUCGACGAGUCGAGUAGUUUGGGAAUGCUGCUCUAAAUGGGAGGUGUACGUCUUCUAAAGCUAAAUACCGGCCAGAGACCGAUAGCGCACAAGUAGAGUGAUCGAAAGAUGAAAAGCACUUUGAAAAGAGGGUUAAAAAGUACGUGAAAUUGUUGAAAGGGAAGCAUUCAUGACCAGACUUGGGCUUGGUUGAACAUCCGGCGUUCUCGCCGGUGCACUCUGCCAGUCCAGGCCAGCAUCAGUUUGCCCCGGGGGACAAAGGCGGUGGGAAUGUGGCUCCCUUCGGGGAGUGUUAUAGCCCGCCGUGUAAUGCCCUGGGGCGGACUGAGGAACGCGCUUCGGCACGGAUGCUGGCGUAAUGGUCAUCAAUGACCCGUCUUGAAACACGGACCAAGGAGUCGUCUUCGUAUGCGAGUGUUCGGGUGUCAAACCCCUACGCGUAAUGAAAGUGAACGUAGGUGAGAGCUUCGGCGCAUCACCGACCGAUCCUGAUGUUCUCGGAUGGAUUUGAGUAAGAGCAUACGGGGCCGGACCCGAAAGAAGGUGAACUAUGCCUGUAUAGGGUGAAGCCAGAGGAAACUCUGGUGGAGGCUCGCAGCGGUUCUGACGUGCAAAUCGAUCGUCAAAUAUGGGCAUGGGGGCGAAAGACUAAUCGAACCUUCUAGUAGCUGGUUUCCGCCGAAG
rnacentral:rRNA from 1 species